rnacentral:rRNA from 1 species
CCUACGGGUGGCAGCAGUGAGGAAUAUUGGUCAAUGGACGCAAGUCUGAACCAGCCAUGCAGCGUGCAGGAAGACGGCUCUAUGGGUUGUAAACUGCUUUUGUACGCGGGUAAACGCAGAUACGCGUAUCUUUCUGAAAGUAUCGUACGAAUAAGGAUCGGCUAACUCCGUGCCAGCAGCCGCGGUAAUACGGAGGAUUCAAGCGUUAUCCGGAUUUAUUGGGUUUAAAGGGUGCGGAGGCGGUCUGUUAAGUUGGUGGUGAAAUCCCGAGGCUCAACUUCGGAAUUGCCGCUGAUACUGGUCGGCUAGAGAGUAGUGGCGGUAGGCGGAAUUAAUGGUGUAGCGGUGAAAUGCUUAGAGAUCAUACAGAACACCGAUUGCGAAGGCAGCUUACCAAGCUACUUCUGACGUUGAGGCACGAAAGCGUGGGGAGCAAACAGGAUUAGAUACCCCGGUAGUC